UUGAUGUGUUGGACUACAGCACAAUGCCUAGCUGGCUUUUACGGCCAACAUUUGGAAGCAACUGCUUUUCCAUGGUGACGGUAGCUCGUUGUUCACAUCUGGAAAUUCGUCCGCUUGCAACAGUUUAGCAGAAAAACGGAUGUAGAGAUAAAAUGGGCAAGCCGUCUCUCGCAUUGCUGGCUCUUCUGUUUCUUCUCGUGUUUCUGCAUAUGGGCUCUAGUGAAUCCAAAAAAGUUGUGAAGGCAAAGAUCAAAGGAAUACAGGUGAACAGCAUCGUUACCCCAAAGAUUGUAGUGAAAUCGAAGAAUACCAAGAAAACGAAGAAAACGAAUAACAAACUGUCGUCCUUUAUCUUUCCAACCAAAAAACGGACAACCAAGGCGAUUCAAACCACGGCAAAGGGUGCUGCAAAUAACCCCACUACCGCCGCCGCCGCCGAUGCCGCUGACACGGCAGCGUAUUAGGGAAUAUUUGUAACACAAAAAAUGUACACCUUAUAAAAAUGGUGCUACGAAUUUCUGGUUUGGCAUUAUUGCAAUGUAUUGGCUUGGUUAAAUAAUUACAAAUUAUUGGAAUUUUAUCAA